rnacentral:rRNA from 1 species
UGGGGAAUUUUUCGCAAUGGGGGCAACCCUGACGAAGCAAUGCCGCGUGGAUGAUGAAGUAUUUCGGUACGUAAAAUCCUUUCGACGGGGACGAAACCGCAAGGUUGACGGUACCCGUAGAAGAAGCCCCGGCUAACUCCGUGCCAGCAGCCGCGGUAAUACGGGGGGGGCAAGCGUUGUUCGGAAUUACUGGGCGUAAAGGGUGCGUAGGCGGCUUUCUAAGUUGGAUGUGAAAACUCUGGGCUCAACCCAGAGACUGCAUCCAAAACUGGAGAGCUUGGGUUCUGGAGGGGAAAGCGGAAUUCCUGGUGUAGCGGUGAAAUGCGUAGAUAUCAGGAGGAACACCGGUGGCGAAGGCGGCUUUCUGGACAGAUACCGACGCUGAGGCACGAAAGCUAGGGGAGCAAACAG